UAAAUUUACAUUUAUAAUGAUAGGUUUUUCUAACACAAAAAAAAUCUUUCACAAAUCAACUCUUUGCAUAAUAAUAAGUUGUUAAAUAGAAAUUCACUUAAUGAAAAUACCAACAUUAAUUUUGUUAACACUAACCAUUCUUUAAAUAAUAUUAAC